GGAAGUAAAAUCGUAACAAGGUUUCCGUAGGUGAACCUGCGGAAGGAUCAUUAUCGUACAAAAUGUGAGGGGCAUGCGAGGGCUGUCGCUGACCCAAAAGUCGUGAACGCCCGAGUGUGUCCUCUUGCAUAAUAAUCCAUCUCACCCUUUGUGCAUCACCGCGUGGGCACCCUUCGGGAUCAUCUCGGAGGGGGGCUCGCGUUUUCACACAAACCCCCCUUUUAAAAGUGUAGAAUGACCACAUUUAUGCAAUCAAUACAACUUUCAACAACGGAUCUCUUGGCUCUC
rnacentral:misc_RNA from 1 species